AUAAGAGGAAUAUGUCAAAGUCAUUUAUAUGUGCCAAUCUUCCUGCUGCCAGCUGGUGGCGCUAUGACUAUAACUGGAUUUUGUCAUGUAGAUUUCUUCAGUCCAGCACUUUUAUCAAGCAUAUGAAAUUUAGUGCAGAUUGAAUAUGGAAUGUUUGAGUUAGUAUAAAGCAUGUUGUGUCCUAUUGCCAACAGGUGGCGCUAUGAUUAUAACUGAACAUUGGCCUUUAGAUAUCUUCAGGCCAAGACUCUUAUCAAAUAUUUGAAGUUUGGUGCAGAUUGGACAUUGCAUGUUUAAGUUAGUGUAAAACAAGCCAUUUUCUGUUGUCAGCAGGUGGCGCUAUGAUUAUAGUGGAAUAAUGACCUUCAGAUGUGUUCAGGCCAAGACUCUUUUCGAACAUGUGAAGUUUGGGGAAGAUCGGACAUCUUAUGCCUGAGUUACAACAACUUCUAUUCCCAUGGCGAGACAUCAAACUUUGUCACGGCGCCAUGGUCACACCCUUUAAUGAAACCUCAAGAUGUUCACAAUUUAACAUCGCAAAGGCCUUUAGAUUAGACUGACCAAAAAAAAAUAUAAAAUGUCAUAAAAUAUCUAGGAGUAGUUUGUUACGGCGUAAAACAUGUCACUUCCUGUUGCCAGCAGGUGGCGCUAUAGCGUUAUCUGAAUAUUGGCAUGUAGAUAUAUUCAGG
ensembl:lncRNA